rnacentral:rRNA from 1 species
GUGCGAGACCGAUAGCGAACAAGUACCGUGAGGGGAAGAUGAAAAGAACUUUGAAAAGAGAGUUAAAGAGUACCUGAAACUGCUGAAAGGGAACCGAAUCGUUUCCAGUGUCUAUAAUCUAUGGCAUAUUUCAUUGGCGUGUGGAUGUGUGCGGCGUUUUGGAAGUAGUUUUCUGCUCCUGGCGUUGUUUUGCGUUCGCCUGCUGGUGCCCUGUGCUGUAGUGGGACGUCAGAGUCAGUUCGUAUACUGCGGGAAAUGGUUACUGGGGAGGUAGGUCACUUCGGUGGCUGUUAUAUCCUGGUGACUAGUCGUCGUGGUUGGGACUGAGGUGCCUACAACGCGCUUUCGAGUCUGCGGGCUUCUCGUGUGGCUGUUUGCUUUGAUAGCUUGCUAUGUUGGUGAAUAAGUCGUGCGAUUGAGACCUGUAGUAACUUGUUGCUGUUCGGGACUUUGA